GCAAGCUCCAUCCCUGACCCAUGACGCUGGGUCCAUUGUACUCAUUAAAUUUGAAGGAAAACCGGGAUUCUUACAUCCUGUGCCCUGCCACAAGUCUUUCGAGCAUGAUUCUCCAGUUGGGAAUUAUGAUGGGAGUGACAGGCUGACGAAUAAAAGAUUUUGUUCUCAUGUGUGGGUUCAGUCCAAGUCCACUCUGUCUGGCGUUGAGGUUGAAAAAUCCGUUCUUUUUGUUCACUGUCUCUUAUUUAUUAUUUAACUUAUUUACACAAAACUAACCACAAUUGCAUAUUAUGAGAAUCAGCCAGUCCUAUCAUCUAGGGGUGAAAAGAUAACAAGCUAUAAGCGGUGUGGAAGGAGAAGAUAAAUACAUGAGAGCAUGCUUUUUUUUAAACAAAAAUUUGAAGUCAAGAAAACUUGCAUAAAUAUCGAGGGUCCAGUUUCUAUCCAGCUAGAAUUUUCUAGUGCUAGUUAGAAAUAUACCCGAACAAGUGGCACCACGUCGAAGAUAAAACAGAACAGAACAUUUACAAUUAAGCCAUUUUCGAAAACCUCUUUGAAGAACAUACAAGAACAAGG
rnacentral:sRNA from 2 species